GCUUCUUUAGCUCAGUUGGUACGAGCGUCCGACUGAAGAAUUCAGUUCAAAGUCGCCACUGUGUGCAGUGGAUGUAAAUCGGGAGGUCACCUGUUCGACCCAGGUAAGGAGCA
rnacentral:tRNA from 1 species